rnacentral:sRNA from 1 species
CUCGGCAGGUCGCGCCUACCUAGUAGCACCCUACCCUGUAGGGCCUACCCGGGAGACGCGGGUAAGCCUGCCGGCGGCCCACGAAACUCUGUUUAAUAUUGAAUUCUGAACAUAUAACUAAAUAAGUUAAAACUUUCAACAACGGAUCUCUUGGUUCUGGCAUCGAUGAAGAACGCAGCGAAAUGCGAUAAGUAAUGUGAAUUGCAGAAUUCAGUGAAUCAUCGAAUCUUUGAACGCACAUUGCGCCCAUUAGUAUUCUAGUGGGCAUGCCUGUUCGAGCGUCAUUUCAACCCUUAAGCCUCUGUUGCUUAGUGUUGGGAGCCUACAGCACCUGUAGCUCCCCAAAGUUAGUGGCGGAGUCGGUUCACACUCUAGACGUAGUAAUUUUAUCUCGCCUAUUAGUUGGACCGGUCUCCCGCCGUAAAACCCCUACGGCGAGUGAAGCGGCAACAGCUCAAAUUUGAAAUCUGGCCCUCGGGUCCGAGUUGUAAUUUGUAGAGGAUGCUUUUGGCGCGGUGCCUUCCGAGUUCCCUGGAACGGGACGCCUUAGAGGGUGAGAGCCCCGUACGGUUGGACACCAAGCCUCUGUAAAGCUCCUUCGACGAGUCGAGUAGUUUGGGAAUGCUGCUCUAAAUGGGAGGUAAAUUUCUUCUAAAGCUAAAUAUUGGCCAGAGACCGAUAGCGCACAAGUAGAGUGAUCGAAAGAUGAAAAGCACUUUGAAAAGAGGGUUAAAUAGCACGUGAAAUUGUUGAAAGGGAAGCGUUUGCGACCAGACCUUUUCCUAGCGGAUCAACCGGUGUUCUCACCGGUGCACUUCGCUAGGUUUAGGCCAGCAUCGGUUUCUGUAGGGGGAUAAAAGCUCUGGGAACGUAGCUCCUCCGGGAGUGUUAUAGCCCUCUGCAUAAUACCCUUACGGGGACCGAGGACCGCGCUUCGGCAAGGAUGCUGGCGUAAUGGUCGUCAACGACCCGUCUUGAAACACGGACCAAGGAGUCGAACAUUUGUGCGAGUGUUUGGGUGUUAAACCCUCACGCGUAAUGAAAGUGAACGGAGGUGAGAGCCCUUACGGGUGCAUCAUCGACCGAUCCUGAUGUCUUCGGAUGGAUUUGAGUAAGAGCAUA